CCCAGGCAACAGAAGUAAAAAUGAACGCUGCAUUUUUGAUUACCUUUGUAUUGGCUAUCUUUGCUUUGGCCGUCGCCAAUCCGUCACCAAGUCCUAACCCAAUGCCUCAACCAAGACCUCAAUACUGGAACUACGGUUACGGAAUUGGAAUGCCUUACUAUGGUCAUGGAUUAGGUUAUGGAUAUUACUUCUAAACCAAGACAUCAGUUGAUAAUAUCUUUAUGCGGGAAAUAAAUUAUGUUUUCGUACA